UAUGUUUAACAUAGCAGCAGUGAGAAAAAAGAGAUGUGUUGCGUACAUGCGCUAGCCGCUAUUCCACGAUGAAAUGUAUCGUCACGAUAGAGCCAAAUCGUACUCUUUCACUUGAGUGUUAAAACAUUUUGCGCUGUUGAUUCCCUGUUGAUUUCACUUAUUGUACAGCACCGUGCACAAUAUUUAAUCUGAAUCGUGAUAUCAGGACCCUUACUUAUAUUUGUUAUUUGUUCAGCGUUUUCUUCAGUCCGACUUUGGCUGUUAUUAGUUAAACAUCAAAUAGCCAUUCAUUUUUGAAACGAAAAUGUCUUCGAUCCACAGUGCAAUAAGUUCUGAAACCGCUUCCGAUUACUCCGAAGAUUCGUUGGAAUUUUUAACACCUUAUCAGGGGAAUAAGCGUUGCUUUGGACAGUUUCGCUGUGACGAGUGCAAGCGCACUUGGUGCUCAGGCAAUUCAUGGGCAAAUACUGCACAAAUGUGUCAAUGCUGCGACAUCCGCGUUUACCCAUUCAAACAGCGACCAUUGAAGAAACCUGGCGGAUUGAACAAGUCGGAUCCCAAAAAAGCACACCCGAAACAUCUGUGCGAUAAAUGCAAACAUCUGGGCCACUAUUGUGGCAAAUUAAAAUAUUUCAAGUCCAAAAAUCAAUCGACAUAAAAAAAAAGAAACUGUUCAUCAGUGUAAUCGUUGAACUGAUUCGAAAAAAAAAAACAAAUACUUUAAGGAAAAUAUGGGCAAUUAUACAUACGGUUAAUAAAAGGAAUCUCCAAAUGACCCGUGUUGUAUCAACACAGAAUGUUAA